UUCGGGGGGACGAGGGUGACAGGUGGUGCAUGGUUGUCGUCAGCUCGUGUCGUGAGAUGUUGGGUUAAGUCCCGCAACGAGCGCAACCCUCGACCUUAGUUGCCAGCAUUCAGUUGGGCACUCUAAGGUGACUGCCGGCUAAAAGUCGGAGGAAGGUGGGGGAUGACGUCAAAUCAUCAUGCCCCUUAUGACCUGGGCUACACACGUGCUACAAUGGGCGGUACAAAGGGUCGCGAACCCGCGAGGGGGAGCCAAUCCCAAAAAGCCGCUCUCAGUUCGGAUUGCAGGCUGCAACUCGCCUGCAUGAAGCCGGAAUCGCUAGUAAUCGCGGAUCAGCAUGCCGCGGUGAAUACGUUCCCGGGCCUU
rnacentral:rRNA from 1 species